GCCCUAGUGGGGGUGCGGGUGCGAAACCCUGACAUGAGCUUUCCCCGGGGAUCCUCCCCGGGCUCCCUGACCCGUAGGCCUAAGAAUCUGGGAUUUCUACUGAGUCGAGGAAGGUGGUGCUCACAUACUCCGGCUCAGAUAGGUUGCCGGGUGCCCCAAAUUCUACCGUCAGAGCUCCAGUCAGGAUGAGCUUGCAAUCCAGGUCAUGAGGACGGACCCUAACCCAGUAUGACUGGGGUCCUUAUCAGAGGAGGUUAGGACACAGACGCGCACAGAGGGAUAAUCGUGUGAGGACACAGGGAGGAGACAGCGUCUAUGCCCCCACGAGAGACGCCUCGGAAGGAACCAGACCAACUUGCCCACGGCUGGAUCUCAGACUUCCAGCCUCCAGAGCCGUGAGACAACACAUGUCCGGUGUGUUAGCCGCCCUGCGUGUGGUCCUUUGUCGCGGCAGUCCUAGGAGGCUAACGUGGGGUCUGGACUCAAUGCCACGUGGGGUCCUGGAUUCAAUCCUGGAACGGGAAAAGGACACCCGUGGAAAAACCUGAAACACAGACGAAGCCUUUUGUUUCGCUAAUGGUAUUGCACCAAUGUUCCUUUCCUCUUUUUGACAACUGACAGUAAUUUAAGAUGUUAACAGGAGAGGAAGCUGAGUUAAGUGUAUACGGAACUUCCUGCACUAUCUUUGCAAUUAAUCUGUAAAUCCAAAUGGUUGCACAACAGUGUGAAUGUGAUUGAUGCUGUUGAGCUGUGUGCUUAAAUAUGAUUAAGAC